CCUACGGGGUGCAGCAGUGAGGAAUAUUGGUCAAUGGACGCAAGUCUGAACCAGCCAUGCCGCGUGCAGGAUGACGGCUCUAUGAGUUGUAAACUGCUUUUGUACGAGGGUAAACCCCGAUACGUGUAUCGGGUUGAAAGUAUCGUACGAAUAAGGAUCGGCUAACUCCGUGCCAGCAGCCGGGGUAAUACGGAGGAUCCGAGCGUUAUCCGGAUUUAUUGGGUUUAAAGGGUGCGUAGGCGGUUUGAUAAGUUAGAGGUGAAAUGUCGGGGCUCAACCCCGAAACUGCCUCUAAUACUGUUGGACUAGAGAAUAGUUGCGGUAGGCGGAAUGUAUGGUGUAGCGGUGAAAUGUGUAGAUAUCAGGAGGAACACCGGCGGCGAAGGCGGCCUGCUGGACCGCGACUGACGUGGAGGCUCGAAAGCGUGGGGAGCGAAAGGGAUUAGAUACCCGAGUAGUC
rnacentral:rRNA from 1 species